rnacentral:rRNA from 1 species
CGGGUGAGUAACGCGUGGGUAACCUGCCUUGUACUGGGGGACAACAGUUAGAGAUGACUGCUAAUACCGCAUAAGCGCACAGUAUCGCAUGAUACAGUGUGAAAAACUCCGGUGGUACAAGAUGGACCCGCGUCUGAUUAGCUAGUUGGUAAGGUAACGGCUUACCAAGGCGACGAUCAGUAGCCGACCUGAGAGGGUGACCGGCCACAUUGGGACUGAGACACGGCCCAA